UACGUAGGGGGCAAGCGUUAUCCGGAUUUACUGGGUGUAAAGGGAGCGCAGGUGGUUUAUUAAGUCUGGUGUAAAAGGCAGUGGCUCAACCAUUGUAUGCAUUGGAAACUGGUAGACUUGAGUGCAGGAGAGGAGAGUGGAAUUCCAUGUGUAGCGGUGAAAUGCGUAGAUAUAUGGAGGAACACCGGUGGCGAAAGCGGCUCUCUGGCCUGUAACUGACACUGAGGCUCGAAAGCGUGGGGAGCAAACAGG
rnacentral:rRNA from 1 species